rnacentral:ncRNA from 1 species
UAUCUGAAUUUGUGAUCGGAGCAGGGCUAAUUUUUUUCACAAAGGAGCAUAUUAUUAUGGCAUUAAGUGUUGAACAGAAAGCUAAGAUUGUGGCUGAGUUUGGUCGCAGCG